rnacentral:ncRNA from 1 species
ACAUGCCGUCGGUGCCCCGUAAAAAGGGUUAAAAGGGAACACGGUGUAAAUCCGUGGCAGCCCCCGCUACUGUCAGUGCUUACGCGGCUUUCAUAUCCAUUGGGUGCUCUUCGCGGGUGCCUGAGAAGGGGAGGGACGCUAAACGGCAUGAGUCAGGAAACCUGCCGAUGAGUCA